GGAACCAAGAAACAAUUAAGAAUGAAUUUACCACUCAAUGUGACGCUUAUGUCACAAUUCAUCGUAGAAGAUUAAAUCUGUUAAAUUGUUAUGGACUAAUUAAGGGCAAGAUUAAUAUUAAGCUUACCUCUAUAAGCAUUAAUUAUAUUGGAAUAAAAAAAGAGGAAAAUCCUUUUAUUAUAUUUAUGAAGAAACAACAAAAGAAUAAAGAAAAUGAUAAAGCAGGAUUUCAAGAUAGUGCUCAAGCACUUUUUCCAUUUGAAGGAUACAGUAACAAAAUACUUUAUCAUCCUUAUUAUAUAUUCAAAAGGUGAGCAUUAUCAUUCAUUCUCUCUCAUCAUUCCCUUAAAAAAAAUACUAAAACUUUAUUACUUUCUUCUGUCAUCUUUUCCAAAAAAUUGCACUAUAACAUAGAACCAGAUCCUACAAAAAUUUGACGCGUCUUAAUAGACCAGUGUGCGUCUGACUGACCAGCAGAGCGUCUGACCGGAUCAGCGACACGACUGACCGGAGCAUUGACAUGUUUAAUCAGCGCAACGAACCAGAUUUGGCGGUGCCUUUGACCGGAUCUGUGAUACGACUGACCGGAGAUCAAAAUUUUAUUUACAGGUUCGGAUGCUCAUGUUCCUGACAGCGCUUAGCCAGAUUCAGUCAACAGUAGCAGAUUUAGCAGUGAGUCCUUAUCUAUUGAAGAUAUGCUUCUUAAUUCAGUAUUUAAAUUUAGUAGUAGCUCAAUAGUCAGAGUUAGUUGGGGGCUUAUCCCAUCAACUCCACUUUCAGAUAAUUUUAGUUAAAGGCUUUUCAGACAGUAUUUCAGCUUUAGAUGUUAUUAUUCAUUAUCAGUAUUUUAAAUGUUUUGAACCUUAUGGUAUUUUAGCCCAUUUUCUGCAUUAAUUGAAGUAUUAUUAUUCAGUUCUCA